GCAGUUCACAUGGAAGGGCACAAACAGUGUUGUUACCCUAUCAGUUCGAGGAUAUAUUCAAUGAGCCUCAUGGCCACCAGAAAAUUACAUGUAAGUCGAUGUUCAAUUCACUAACAUAGUAAAAAGUUUGAACUCCUAA